UGAGGAAUAUUGCGCAAUGGGCGAAAGCCUGACGCAGCGACGCCGCGUGGGGGAAGAAGGUUUUCGGAUUGUAAACCCCUUUUAGGAGGAAAGAUGGGGUGGUUCGCCACCCGGACGGUACCUCCAGAAAAAGCCACGGCUAACUUCGUGCCAGCAGCCGCGGUAAUACGAAGGUGGCGAGCGUUGUUCGGAUUUACUGGGCGUAAAGAGCACGUAGGCGGUUUAGUAAGCCCCUUGGGAAAGCUACGGGCUUAACCCGUAAAGGUCGAGGGGGACUGCUAAGCUAGAGGGCGGGAGAGGAGCGCGGAAUUUCCGGUGUAGCGGUGAAAUGCGUAGAUAUCGGGAAGAAGGCCGGUGGCGAAGGCGGCGCUCUGGAACGUCUCUGACGCUGAGGUGCGAAAGCGUGGGGAGCAAACAGGAUUAGAUACCCCCGUAGUCC
rnacentral:rRNA from 1 species